GGGUCCUAUGGGGUUCUAUGGGGUCUUUAUGGGGUCCUUAUGGGGCUCUAUGGGGUCCUUAUGGGGUCCUAUGGGGGCUUAAAGGGGUUCUAUGGGGGUCCUAUGGGGUCUUUAUGGGGUCCUAUGGGGCUCUAUGGGGUCCUAUAGGGUCCUUAUGGGGUCCCUAUGGGGUUCUAUGGGGUCCUUAUGAGGCUCUGUGGGGCUCUAUGGGGUCUUUAUGGGGUCCCAUGGGGUCUUAUGGGGGUUUUAUGGGGUCCUAUGGGGGCUUAAAGGGGUCCUAUGGGGUCUUUAUGGGGUCCUAAGGGGUCUUAUGGGGGCUUUAUGGGGUCCUAUGGGGGCUUAAAGGGGUCCUAUGGGGUCUUUAUGGGGUCCUAUGGGGCUCUAUGGGGCAAUAUGGGGUCCUAUGGGGUCCUUAUAGGGUCCUAUUGGGUCCUUAUGGGGUCCUAUGGGGCUCUACGGGGUCCUAUGGGGUCCUUAUGGGGUUAUAUGGGGGCUUUAUGGGGUCCUAUGGGGGUUUAAAGGGGUUGUAUGGGGCUCUAUGGGGUCCUAUGGGGUCCUUAUGGGGUUUUAUGGGGUCCAAUGGGGUCCUAUGGGGCUCUAUGAGGUCUUAUGGGGUUCUAUGGGGUCCUUAUGGGGUUCUUAUGGGGUCUUUAUGGGGUCCUAUGGGGUUCUAAUGGAUCCUUAUGAGGCUCUGUGGGGCUCUACGGGGUCCUUAUGGGGUCCUAUGGGGUCUUAUGGGGUCCUACGGGGUCCUAUGGGGGCUUAACAGGGUCCUAUGGGGUCCUUAUGGGGCUCUAUGGGGUUCUAUGGAGACUUAAAGGGGUCCUAUGGGGCUCUAUGGGGUCCCUUUGGGGUUCUUAUGGGGUCCCUAUGGGGUCUUUAUGGGGUCCUAUG
ensembl:lncRNA